rnacentral:rRNA from 1 species
CCUACGGGAGGCAGCAUUAGGGAAUCUUCGGCAAUGGACGAAAGUCUGACCGAGCAACGCCGCGUGAGUGAAGAAGGUUUUCGGAUCGUAAAGCUCUGUUGGUAGAGAAGCACGUUGGUGAGAGUGGAAAGCUCAUCAAGUGACGGUAACUACCCAGAAAGGGACGGCUAACUACGUGCCAGCAGCCGCGGUAAGACGUAGGUCCCGAGCGUUGUCCGGAUUUAUUGGGCGUAAAGCGAGCGCAGGUGGUUUAUUAAGUCUGGUGUAAAAGGCAGUGGCUCAACCAUUGUAUGCAUUGGAAACUGGUAGACUUGAGUGCAGGAGAGGAGAGUGGAAUUCCAUGUGUAGCGGUGAAAUGCGUAGAUAUAUGGAGGAACACCGGUGGCGAAAGCGGCUCUCUGGUCUGUAACUGACGCUGAGGCGCGAAAGCGUGGGGAGCAAACAGGAUUAGAUACCCGCGUAGUC